rnacentral:tRNA from 2 species
CGCGAAGUAGUGUAAAGGCAACAUAUCGGUCUCAUAAUCCGAAGACAGUGGUUCGAUUCCUCUCUUCGCAU